AGAAACAAAGGAAACAAGAGCACAAAAAGAGGAGAUGGGAAAAGAGAAAACUUUCUGAGCGCGUGAGCUGCCUUUUUCUCCUUGUCCUUGCUCCAGACUUGUGAAAAGUCAUAGAAACAAAGGAAACAAGAGCACAAAAAGAGGAGAUGGGAAAAGA
rnacentral:ribozyme from 13 species